UCCUUCCUUGUCUUGGGGAGCAGAAAUGUUCAAUGAACGUCUAGUGAGGACAUUGCUGCUGACACCAAAGAUAUAAUUAUCACCCCCGUUCGCAGAUCUUGCUUGGAUAAGCGUUCGGAAUUUUUGGAAAU